AACGAGACCUUAACCUGCUAAAUAGUCCGGCCGGCUUUUGCUGGUCGCAGACUUCUUAGAGGGACUGUCAGCGUCUAGCUGACGGAAGUUUGAGGCAAUAACAGGUCUGUGAUGCCCUUAGAUGUUCUGGGCCGCACGCGCGCUACACUGACAGAGCCAGCGAGUUCUCACCUUGGCCGGAAGGUCUGGGUAAUCUUGUGAAAC
rnacentral:rRNA from 1 species